rnacentral:piRNA from 1 species
UGAAUUGUUCCUUCGUAAAAA